rfam:Triticum aestivum genome assembly, contig: Triticum_aestivum_CS42_TGACv1_scaffold_321474_4BL
UUUGUACUCCCUUCGUACCAAAAUUCAUGUCUUAAAUUUGUCUAAAUACGGAUGUAUCUAGUUACAUUUUAGUGUUAGAUACAUCCGUAUCUAAACAAAUGUAAGACAAGAAUUUUGGGACGGAGGGAAUACUAC